UACGAAGGGGGCAAGCGUUGUCCGGAAUCAUUGGGCGUAAAGAGCGUGUAGGCGGCCAGAUAAGUCCGCUGUGAAAUCUCGAGGCUCAACUUCGAGCUGUCGGUGGAAACUGUCUGGCUAGAGUCCGGAAGAGGAGAGUGGAAUUCCUGGUGUAGCGGUGAAAUGCGCAGAUAUCAGGAAGAACACCCGUGGCGAAGGCGGCUCUCUGGGACGUGACUGACGCUGAGACGCGAAAGCGUGGGGAGCAAACAGG
rnacentral:rRNA from 1 species